rnacentral:rRNA from 1 species
GGAUUAGAUACCCUGGUAGUCCACGCCGUAAACGAUGUCUACUAGUUGUCGGUUGUCUUGUACGACGGGUAACGCAGCUAACGCGAUAAGUAGACCGCCUGGGGAGUACGGCCGCAAGGUUAAAACUCAAAUGAAUUGACGGGGGCCCGCACAAGCGGUGGAGCAUGUGGUUUAAUUCGAAGCAACGCGAAGAACCUUACCUACUCUUGACAUCCUGCGAACUUGGUAGAGAUACCUUGGUGCCUUCGGGAACGCAGUGACAGGUGCUGCAUGGCUGUCGUCAGCUCGUGCCG